rnacentral:lncRNA from 1 species
GCAGAGGCUGAUUCUGUGCUGAAAGCAAGCAAAGAAGAUAUAAUUUGAUGAGAGCUUCCAUAAGCUUCUCAUGGGAACAUCUAGCCUAUCUCUCCUGCUGGGAUCUGGCAGCUUCUUGCCUUUGAUACUUGCAGAUACUUGCAGGGGAACUGGACAGGGUCUGACCCUGGCCCCACAUCACUUUUACUAGCUGGCAAUUCUUUUCCACUCUGAGCAACGGAAGAGUCAUCCAACUGUGUUUGCCAAACUUGCUUGAAUGUGAGAAGCAUGUUUGUUUUAUGAUCAGUGUCUUGGGUUUUAAAUAAGAAUACCACAGGAGAUGAUCCCGCCAUGAUCCUUGCUAAUGUAUCUCUAGGCUAAUAAGUUCUGAAAUGAUCCUGCUCUUUGAUUUCAUGAAUAAGAAAAUAAAAUGAGAAAUGCAUGACAUUU